GCUGGUGACAAUCUUGGACUGCUAGGUGAGUAUGCCAGUGAUGGGCUGUAUUUUGCUGAUUGGGGGUUGUAACUUGGCGAGGUUGGGCUGUAGCCAGGGGAGGUUGGGCUAUAGGCUGGUGAAGUGGGGCUGUAGGAUGGGGAUGUGGGGCUGUAAGAUGGGGAUGUGGGGCUGUAUGAUGGGGAGGUGGGGCUGUAUGAUGGGGAGGUAGGGCUGUACGCAGGUGAUGUUGGACUGUACGCAGGUGAAGUGGGACUGUACGCAGGUGAAGUGGGGCUGUAACUGGGGGAUGUGGGGCUGUAGCUGGGGGAUGUGGGGCUGUAGCUCGGGGAAGUGGGGCUGUAGCUGGGGGAA
rnacentral:lncRNA from 1 species